rnacentral:rRNA from 1 species
GUGCGUAACGGGACGGCAGCGGUGGGAAGUAGGAGUGUGCGGUGGUUGACGGGAAUUACUGUGCGUAAAGCGUAGGCGGGGGGUUUUGCAAGGCGGAUGUUAAAUCCCCGGGCGUAACCUUGGAAUGGCAUUUGGGACUGCAAGGCUGGAGUGCGGCAGAGGAGACUGGAAUUCCUGGUGUAGCAGUGAAAGGCGUAGAUAUCAGGAGGAACACCGAUGGCGAAGGCAGGUCUCUGGGCUGACACUGACGCUCAUGCACGAAAGCGUGGGGAGCAAACAGGAUUAGAUACCCCAGUAGUC